rnacentral:rRNA from 1 species
UACGUAGGUGACAAAGUCGUUCGGAUUCGAUACUGGGCGUAAAGAGCGCGCAGGCGGUCGUUCAAGUCGAGUGUGAAAGCCCCUGGCUCAACUGGGGAGGUCACUCGAUACUGAUCGACUCGAAGGCAGGAGAGGGUAGUGGAAUUCCCGGUGUAGUGGUGAAAUGCGUAGAUAUCGUAAGGAAGACCAGUGGCGAAGGCGGGUCAUCUGGACAGUUCCUGACGCUGAGGCACGAAGCCAGGGGAGCAAACGGG